CGUUCUACUAUAACUUAAUUUACAGGGCUAUUCUGGGCAACCUCACUGAUGUCUCACAAGUCACAAUAACCUCAUAACUCGAGUUAAACUCGAUUUUGUGACUUUUUCGUAUUCUAACGAAAACCUCACAGUCACAAAAACCUCAUAAGGUGUGGUGAGUUUGAUUUUGUGAGGUUUUUGGAAUUCUGGUGUAACCUCAUAACUUGUGAGCCUCAUACAAAUUGUAAAAAUUGUGAUCUCCUUCAGAGCAGGUCACAACUCACAAAUUACUAGAGUUUUGACAUUUUUCAUUUCUAUAAAAUGUUUUGAGAACAAAUAAUUUAAGUUUUUUUAUUUGUGAGUCAAUAAAAAUGGAAUUAGACCUUAUUUUGUUGCAUUUCAUUGCAGAACUUUCAUCGGAAAGUGAAAAAAAAUAGUCCACCAUCUGUGCUGAAGAAGCUUUCCAAUAAUCAAAGAAAUGCUUAAAAACCUCCGUCAAGCCACCGAAGUUUCUGUCAAUCGCAAACAACAUAAAAAGACUAUAUAGCAAAACGCUUAAAAGCAGCAGCGGUAACAUCAUCGACAAGUGCGCAUACAACAAUUACAACAACUUCAGUACCAGCCCCAAACACCAAAAAUAGUAAACAGAGUUUAAUGACGUCCGCAGUUGAAGUUCCUUAGCUUAAUUGGCAAUUUUUAGUCAUCACAGGUUGACACAGUAAAUCAACAGGCCAAAAUCAGUCUCCAGUUGACCACAAGAUACAAAUAAGGCCAAUUGUCAAUGAUUCAGGCCUUUAAAUAUGAAGCCCCGCAGUCAUUCCACACAACAACGUCCAACUCACAAUCAUCACCCACGGCAACAGUAGCAACAUCAGCAAUAGCAACAAGAAGCCAAUGCCAAAGCAUUAGCGUAUGCACUUAUGCAGCCAUAAUGCAACUACCAGACAAUAAGCAAUACCCCAAGUUCCGCAAACACUGUGUGUCUCAGUUUUGUUUUUACCGAUCUCAAAUUCCCCAAAAGAUCACCAAUCGCAGACUCUGUUGAAAAAUUUUAUUUGUUUUGAUUUACAAAAAUCUUUCCUAAAUUCUAGAAAUUAGAGAAUUUUAUUUUUUUUUUAGAAAAAUUAUUUUAUUAAAACGCUUCUUACAAUAAAAUAACGUAUGAAUGGAACCAAAAUCAUAAA